rnacentral:rRNA from 1 species
CCUACGGGUGGCUGCAGUGGGGAAUAUUGCACAAUGGGGGAAACCCUGCUGCCGCGACGCCGCGUGAGUGCAGAAGUAUUUCGGUAUGUAAAGCUCUAUCAGCAGGGAAGAAAAUGAAGGUACCUGAUUAAGAAGCCCCGGCUAACUACGUGCCAGCAGCCGCGGGAAUACGUAGGGGGCAAGCGUUAUCCGGAUUUACUGGGUGUAAAGGGAGCGUAGACGGCAGCACAAGUCUGGAGUGAAAUGCCGGGGCUUAACCCCGGAACUGGUUUGGAAACUGGCAAGCGAGAGUGCAGGAGAGGUAAGUGGAAUUCCCAGUGUAGCGGUGAAAUGCGUAGAUAUUAGGAGGAACACCAGUGGCGAAGGCGGCUUACUGGACUGAAACUGACGUUGAGGCUCGAAAGCGUGGGGAGCAAACAGGAUUAGAUACCCUAGUAGUC